GUAGGUGGCAAGCGUUGUCCGGAAUUAUUGGGCGUAAAGCGCGCGCAGGCGGUUCUUUAAGUCUGAUGUGAAAGCCCACGGCUCAACCGUGGAGGGUCAUUGGAAACUGGAGAACUUGAGUACAGAAGAGGAAAGCGGAAUUCCACGUGUAGCGGUGAAAUGCGUAGAGAUGUGGAGGAACACCAGUGGCGAAGGCGGCUUUCUGGUCUGUAACUGACGCUGAGGCGCGAAAGCGUGGGGAGCAAACAGGAUUAGAUACCCUGGUAGUCCACGCCGUAAACGAUGAGUGCUAAGUGUUAGGGGGUUUCCGCCCCUUAGUGCUGCAGCUAACGCAUUAAGCACUCCGCCUGGGGAGUACGGCCGCAAAGGCUG
rnacentral:rRNA from 1 species